CCCGGCCACCCUCCGCCCCCUACCCAGGCUCCCCGCGUGCCCAGGCCGCGCCUCCCCAGCGCCGGGACCUGGCGACGUCACUGCGGCUCUGACGCGCGCUAAUGGAGGCACGGGCGGAGGCGGCGCGGCGCGGGUGUCCCCCGGGGAGGUCCCGGUCCUUGCAGCCCGCGGCCGCGUCCUUGGCCCUCCUCCAGGGGAACCUCGAUUUUUCCAAUCUCAGGAAGGCCGGCUGUCCUUCGGCUACUGAUAAGGACGCGACCGCAUGGUAAAGAUUUUAACAAUGCCCGGAAAGACAUAGCCGGACCCAAGAAAGAGACUAAUAAUAGCAGCCCGCUAGAGUUCUGCUCGUGUGCUCAGCGCUCUUACGAACAAUAAUAACGACAACAACCAUAAGAGCCACCAUUUAUUGAGCGCUUACUCUGUGCCAGGCACUGUGUUAAGCGUUUUGCAGGCAACAACCCUCGGAGGAGGAGGAGCUUGUUUAAGGAAGGAGCAGAUUGGUUGAAAGGAUCUGUUUUUAAUAGCUACUGUGUCUUAAGAGCCUGUUUUGUGCUGAGCCCUUUAUUUGUCUUGACUCCUCAAUCCUCAUGACAACCCUGGGAGGAGUACACCAUUACUCUCCUUUUGAUAGAAGAGGCCACAAGACUGAUAAAUGGUGGUCUGGGCAUCCGCCAGGAGGAUCUGACUUUAAAGCCGUGUUCCCAUCCCCAGAAUGUACAAGCCGAGCCAACUGAACAGAAGAGGUAAGAUACAAACAGAGCAAAAACAACCCAAAAUCUACUCUUAGAGUGUUCAGAAAUACCACAUGUGAAUUAGGGACUUUCAAUUGCUCCCUCAAAUGUGUGAACAGGAAAAAGAAAACCUGAAGGUGCAAAGAGAGAGAAUAGGAAUAAGGCUUGUAGCUUUCACUUGGAAAAGCAUCACUUUCUAUGACUGCACUCUGAGGAAAUAAAGGUGGUUCUAGGAAAAUCUGAAAAAUAUGAGAAGGGAAAAAAAA